GACGAACGCGGCGGCGUGCCUAAUACAUGCAAGUAGAACGCUGAAGGAGGAGCUUGCUUCUCUGGAUGAGUUGCGAACGGGUGAGUAACGCGUAGGUAACCUGCCUGGUAGCAGGGGAUAACUAUUGGAAACGAUAGCUAAUACCGCAUAAUAGCAGUUAUUGCAUGAUAACUGUUUGAAAGGUGCAAUUGCAUCACUACCAGAUGGACCUGCGUUGUAUUAGCUAGUUGGUGGGGUAACGGCUCACCAAGGCGACGAUACAUAGCCGACCUGAGAGGGUGAUCGGCCACACUGGGACUGAGACACGGCCCAGACUCCUACGGGAGGCAGCAGUAGGGAAUCUUCGGCAAUGGACGGAAGUCUGACCGAGCAACGCCGCGUGAGUGAAGAAGGUUUUCGGAUCGUAAAGCUCUGUUGUAAGAGAAGAACGAGUGUGAGAGUGGAAAGUUCACACUGUGACG
rnacentral:rRNA from 1 species